UUAUUUCCUAAUUAAUAAGUGGAACAGAUGAGAUUAGACAGAACUUUAUUCAUUCCUUGGGAAAACUCCAUCAGGGAAAAUGUGGUUCCAGCAGCAUUGUAUAGCAGCACACAGGGUGAGAAGCACACAGAGUAUCAAAAGUAGAAGUA